rnacentral:sRNA from 12 species
UGCAGAGGCUUGCGCUCAGGCUUUCGAUACGAGAGAAGAUAUCCUCUCGUCCGACAUGUUCAGAAGAACAUGAAAUCGUUACGGAUUUAGCGCACUGAGCGAUCCACACGGCGCAAGCU